AGCUUUAUAAUUUAUAUAAUUAAAAUGCUAAUUUUGUAAAUUAGAAAAAAGAAUAAUCUUUAAAGCUU
rnacentral:tRNA from 1 species